AGCAGCCGCGGUAAUUCCAGCUCCAAUAGCGUAUAUUAAAGUUGCUGCAGUUAAAAGCUCGUAGUUGAAUUUCGGGAUCAAUAUGUUGGUCGUGCCUCGGUACGUACUAGCUUAUUGGUUUCUCCCUUCUGACGAACCAUGAUGUCAUUUAUUUGGUGUUAUGGGAAAUCAGGACUGUUACUUUGAAAAAUUAGAGUGUUUAAAGCAGGCUCACGCUUGAAUACAUUAGCAUGGAAUAAUGAAAUAGGACGUUUGAUUCUAUUUUGUUGGUUUCUAGGAUCGACGUAAUGAUUAAUAGGGAUAGUUGGGGGCAUUAGUAUUCAAUUGUCAGAGGUGAAAUUCUUGGAUUUAUUGAAGACUAACUACUGCGAAAGCAUUUGCCAAGGAUGUUUUCAUUAAUCAAGAACGAAAGUUAGGGAUCGAAGACGAUCAGAUACCGUCGUAGUCUUAACCAUAAACUAUGCCGACUA
rnacentral:misc_RNA from 1 species